UGGAAUGAUUUCAUGUUUAACCGUGUUUAACCAGUGUUUAACCAACAAUCUGUAUUUUCUUUCAUGAAAUUUGAAACCUGUUCCUGUACGUGCAAUAGCACAUAGCAGAUUCGUCAAUUUUGGAGAACAAGAAAAGCCACGUGAUCAGAGAGGAGAAUUGUAAUUCGUGGUAUUGCUGACCGGCAGUUCGCUGAGAGAAAUUGGAGAGACGAAGCAAUCGGAGUGCCAAUAUCGUGUGGGUGUGGUAAACCGCCAGUUGCCGUUCCGGAAUCAACAAAGGAUGUUGUCAGUCAUCAAAACUUUGUACAUGUCAAAGAAAUUUUGAGUCUACUUCUACUACUGAAUACCCACCUACAUGGUCUCAACUCUCAAAAGUUCACGGACUAAAAAAAGU